UAUUGCACAGUGGGCGCAAGCCUGAUCCAGCCAUGCCGCGUGUAUGAAGAAGGCCUUCGGGUUGUAAAGUACUUUCAGCGGGGAGGAAGGGAGUAAAGUUAAUACCUUUGCUCAUUGACGUUACCCGCAGAAGAAGCACCGGGUAACCCCGUUCCAGCAGCCGCGGUAAUACGGAGGGUGCAAGCGUUAAUCGGAAUUACUGGGCGUAAAGCGCACGCAGGCGGUUUGUUAAGUCAGAGGUGAAAUCCCCGGGCUCAACCUGGGAACUGCAUCUGAUACUGGCAAGCUUGAGUCUCGUAGAGGGGGGUAGAAUUCCAGGUGUAGCGGUGAAAUGCGUAGAGAUCUGGAGGAAUCCCGGUGGUGAAGGCGGCCCCCUGGACGAAGACUGACGCUCAGGUGCGAAAGCGUGGGGAGCAAACAG
rnacentral:rRNA from 1 species